AGUGAACGCUGGCGGUAGGCCUAACACAUGCAAGUCGAACGGCAGCACCGUAAGAGCUUGCUCUUACGGGUGGCGAGUGGCGGAAGGGUGCGGAAUACAUCGGAAUAUACUUUUUCGUGGGGGCUAACGUAGGGAAACUUACGCUAAUACAGCAUACGACCUACGGGUGUAAGCACGGGAUCGUCGGAGCUUGCGGGAGUGAAUGAGCCGAUGUCGGAUUAGCUCGUUGGCGGGGUAAAGGCGCACCAAGGCGACGAUCGGUAGCUGGUCCGAGGGGAACGUCAGCCAGACUGGAUCAGAGACUCAGCCGAGACUCUGGCAGUGAGCAGCAGUGGAGAAUAUUGCACAAUGGGCGAGAGCCGGAUACAGCCAUACCGCGUGAAGGAAGAAGGCGCUCUGCUGGGAAAGCCAUGUAGGUGGGAGAGAAGUACAGCAGUUUUAUAACCCACGAUACUGACAGUACCCAAAGAAUAAGCACCGGCUAACUUCGUG
rnacentral:rRNA from 1 species